rnacentral:rRNA from 1 species
CCUACGGGAGGCAGCAGUAAGGAAUAUUGGACAAUGCUCGCAAGAGUGAUCCAGCCAUGCCGCGUGCAGGAAGACGGCCCUAUGGGUUGUAAACUGCUUUUGAACUAGAGAAAACCCUCCUACGUGUAGGAGGCUGAUAGUAUAGUUAGAAUAAGCAUCGGCUAACUUCGUGCCAGCAGCCGCGGUAAGACGAAGGAUGCAAGCGUUAUCCGGAUUCAUUGGGUUUAAAGGGAGCGUAGGUGGACUGAUAAGUCAGUGGUGAAAUCUCUCGGCUUAACCGAGAAAUUGCCAUUGAUACUGUUGGUCUUGAGUACAGUUGCUGUGGGCGGAAUAUGACAUGUAGUGGUGAAAUACAUAGAGAUGUCAUAGAACACCGAUUGCGAAGGCAGCUCACAAAGCUGUAACUGACACUGAGGCUCGAAAGUGCGGGGAUCAAACAGGAUUAGAUACCCUGGUAGUCCGCACCGUAAACGAUGAUUACUCGCUGCUGGGAGGUAACUUUCAGUGGCUUAGCGAAGCGAUAAGUAAUCCACCUGGGGAGUACGCCGGCGACGGUGAACUCGAAAUGAAUUGAGG